ACGGAGGGUGCAAGCGUUGUUCGGAAUUACUGGGCGUAAAGGGCGCGUAGGCGGCUUGGUAAGUCAGAUGUGAAAGCCCAUGGCUUAACUGUGGAAGUGCAUUUGAUACUGCUAGGCUUGAGUACCAGAGGGGAAAGUGGAAUUCCCGGUGUAGAGGUGAAAUUCGUAGAUAUCGGGAGGAAUACCGGUGGCGAAGGCGACUUUCUGGCUGAGUACUGACGCUGAGGCGCGAAAGCGUGGGGAGCAAACAG
rnacentral:rRNA from 1 species